GACGAACGCUGGCGGCGUGCUUAACACAUGCAAGUCGAACGGAAAGGCCCUGCCUUUGUGGGGUGCUCGUGUGGCGAACGGGUGAGUAACACGUGAGUAACCUGCCCUUGACUUUGGGAUAACUUCAGGAAACUGGGGCUAAUACCGGAUAGGAGCUCCUGCUGCAUGGUGGGGGUUGGAAAGUUUCGGCGGUUGGGGAUGGGCUCGCGGCUUAUCAGCUUGUUGGUGGGGUAGUGGCUUACCAAGGCUUUGACGGGUAGCCGGCCUGAGAGGGUGACCGGCCACAUUGGGACUGAGAUACGGCCCAGACUCCUACGGGAGGCAGCAGUGGGGAAUAUUGCACAAUGGGCGGAAGCCUGAUGCAGCAACGCCGCGUGCGGGAUGACGGCCUUCGGGUUGUAAACCGCUUUCGCCUGUGACGAAGCGUGAGUGACGGUAAUGGGUAAAGAAGCACCGGCUAACUACGUG
rnacentral:rRNA from 1 species